UUUUUUUCAUUAGAUUUAGUAACUAGAACGGAACCAUAUUAUAAUUAGUAGGCCCCUUCUUUGUUCUCUUCUUCUCUUAAAAAACAAAUCUAGAUGUGGUCUCUAUCUCUUUUUUUCCUUGUUAUAUUUUUCUCUACCGUCUCUGCGUAAAAUUAUCUGUGUCUCCUUUCUCACACACGCAACUUCCUUACCUCUCCCCUCCUUAUUACAGAUUUAUUCAUAUUCAGAUCCUAACACAGAUCCUAACAGCUCAACCAACAAAGCUCCAUUAAACCCAGCAAAGAUGCUCUCUUCCUAUUUGCAUCUGUCGCCGGCCUAAAAAUUAUGUAUUGCUCUUAAAAUCGACUGUGGAUUUCAUCUUCAAAUGUUUGGAUCUAGAUCGUUGCAACAACAAUCUGCAAAGCUAUCGUCUUGUUUGAGGGAUUAUGACCAACUGUUCUAAAACUUUGCUCGGUAGGUAUAUGAGGUUGGACUUUCUAUUUGUUCCAUUGAUCCUUCUCAUAAGUUCAUUUGGUCUAAUGAAUAUGGAGUUUGGGUUGAUGAGUUUGAAGCCAAGGAUGCAAAUUCCACUGUGGUUUGCAGUGUGCAAGUGGAUAUCGAUCACAUGUUGUACACGUGGAUAUAAUAAUCUAACUGUACAUGUGGAUAAUAAUACAAUAUGUGUACACCACAUAAUACAGUAUGUGUACACUUGAUAGUUCUUACAUGUUCUUGUGUACUAAAAAUUUGAACUACAAUCAAUCUAGAUAUCAUAAUAGAUAUAACACUUAUGUACAUCUACUCCAAAAACUUUCAUUUAUCCAAAGUACGUAUAUGUACAUGUUCUUGUGUACUAAAAAAUAUGUGGACAUCGUUUCGUGUACACGUGGAUAACGUUACACGUCGAUCAUUGGAGGAACUUUCUUUUGCUCUUCUUUGGUUAAGGCUAUGUCUUUGCAGUUGUAGUUGCAAUGCAACAAUAUAUCAAAUGUUUAGAGGUUUAUUUUGGUGAUUUCUGCUUUCUUGGAAUAUAUGGUGUUCCCACUGAUUAUAUGUAAGUGUGCCAUUUUUCGUUUUUCACUUUGUGGUUAUUUUAAAAAAUGUUGUUUGAAAGUAAUAACUAAGUUUAAUUUAAACUUAAGGUGUAUAUGAGAAUAUGUACUUGUGAUAUGUUCUACCAGUGUACAUGUGGAUUAUAUUUAUAUGUAAGUGUGCCAUUUUUCUUUUUUUCGCUUUUUGGUUAUCUUAAAAAAUGUUGUUUGAAAGUAAUAACCUAGUUUAAUUUAAACAGAAUGUGUACAUGUGGAUAUGUUCUUGGAGUGUACAUGUGGAUAAUAUUACAUCAAUUAUGAGGAGGACUGGGAUGAGCAAUCAAAAGGGUUAAUCUAAUAGAUAUAUGCACAACUAAAAAGUUAUAUAAAAUAUGAAGGACCAAAGUUGCAAAAAAAAGUGGCCAUUGAUGUUCGAGCUUCUCGAAACAGUGCUGCGAUGAAGAGACAAGGUGAUGACGUCGGGAAAGUUGUAGAACCCAGCAGAGGAGAUGACGAAGAAAACUACGACAGACUUGAGGCUUUGACGGCGUAAGAGAUGACGGGACGAAAACGCUAGAGAUGACGAGACGAAAACGCUAGAGAUGAGUUGCCGAGCACAAAUCAAGGCGGAUAAGGAAGAGUUGCGGUGGAGAAAAGUUGGGAUUUGAGUGGUUCGUGUAUCCACUUAUUUCAAGAUUCAAAAUUGAAUCUUAUUUCGAGAUUCAAAAAAUUUCAUAUGUUUUUCAUUAAA